AGUUCCGGGAAACCCCGCGUGCUGCCGGGAUCGCGUCUCGGUCCAUGCGAGGGGGGGAGGGGGUGGCGCGCGCGCCAUUUCUUGUCGUUUUCAAAGCGCCUCGCGCUGCUUCUCACGGGCCAGGCCGCCAGCCCCCAGCUCUGCCCUGCAGCAUAAUAAAAUGGCUAAUCAGGUGAAUGGUAAUGCGGUACAGUUAAAAGAAGAGGAAGAACCAAUGGAUACUUCCAGUGUAACUCACACAGAACACUACAAGACACUGAUAGAGGCAGGCCUCCCACAGAAGGUGGCAGAAAGACUUGAUGAAAUAUUUCAGACAGGAUUGGUAGCUUAUGUGGAUCUUGAUGAAAGAGCAAUCGAUGCUCUCAGGGAGUUUAAUGAGGAAGGAGCUCUGUCUGUACUGCAGCAGUUCAAAGAAAGUGACCUGUCUCAUGUCCAGAACAAAAGUGCAUUUUUAUGUGGAGUUAUGAAGACCUACAGGCAAAGAGAGAAACAAGGCAGCAAGGUACAAGAGUCCACGAAAGGGCCCGAUGAAGCAAAAAUCAAGGCCUUGCUUGAGAGGACUGGUUAUACUUUGGAUGUGACCACGGGACAGAGGAAGUAUGGCGGUCCCCCACCAGACAGUGUGUACUCGGGUGUGCAGCCUGGGAUUGGGACAGAGGUCUUCGUAGGUAAAAUCCCAAGAGACUUGUAUGAGGAUGAAUUGGUGCCCCUUUUUGAGAAGGCUGGUCCUAUCUGGGAUCUACGGCUCAUGAUGGAUCCACUCUCUGGUCAGAACAGAGGCUAUGCAUUCAUCACCUUCUGUGGAAAAGAAGCUGCGCAGGAAGCAGUUAAGCUGUGUGACAGCUAUGAGAUUCGCCCUGGUAAACACCUGGGAGUGUGCAUUUCUGUGGCAAACAACAGACUUUUUGUUGGAUCCAUUCCAAAGAAUAAAACUAAAGAGAACAUUCUGGAAGAGUUCAGUAAAGUCACAGGUUUAACAGAGGGUUUGGUGGACGUUAUUCUCUAUCAUCAACCCGAUGACAAAAAGAAGAAUCGGGGGUUCUGCUUCCUUGAAUAUGAGGAUCACAAGUCAGCAGCACAAGCCAGACGCCGGCUGAUGAGUGGAAAAGUCAAAGUGUGGGGAAAUGUGGUUACAGUAGAGUGGGCUGACCCCGUGGAGGAGCCGGAUCCAGAAGUCAUGGCAAAGGUAAAAGUUUUAUUUGUGAGAAACUUGGCAACUACGGUGACAGAAGAAAUAUUAGAGAAGUCAUUUUCUGAGUUUGGAAAACUGGAGCGAGUGAAGAAGUUGAAGGAUUAUGCGUUCGUUCAUUUUGAGGACAGGGGAGCUGCUGUUAAGGCUAUGGAUGAAAUGAAUGGAAAAGAAAUAGAAGGGGAAGAAAUUGAAAUUGUCUUAGCUAAGCCACCAGACAAGAAAAGGAAAGAGCGCCAAGCUGCUAGACAGGCCUCCAGAAGCACUGCGUAUGAAGAUUAUUAUUAUCACCCUCCUCCCCGAAUGCCACCUCCAAUGAGAGGCCGAGGUCGUGGAGGGAGAGGUGGAUAUGGCUACCCUCCAGAUUAUUAUGGCUAUGAAGACUACUAUGAUGAUUACUAUGGUUAUGAUUAUCACGACUAUCGUGGAGGCUAUGAAGAUCCCUACUACGGCUAUGAUGAUGGCUAUGCAGUAAGAGGAAGAGGAGGAGGAAGGGGGGGGCGAGGUGCUCCACCACCACCAAGGGGGCGGGGAGCACCACCUCCAAGAGGUAGAGCUGGCUAUUCACAGAGGGGGGCACCUUUGGGACCACCAAGAGGCUCAAGGGGUGGCAGAGGGGGUCCUGCACAACAGCAGAGAGGCCGUGGUUCUCGUGGAGCUCGGGGCAAUCGAGGGGGCAAUGUAGGAGGCAAGAGAAAGGCAGAUGGGUACAACCAACCUGAUUCCAAACGUCGUCAGACCAACAACCAACAGAACUGGGGUUCCCAACCCAUCGCUCAGCAGCCGCUUCAGCAAGGUGGUGACUAUUCUGGUAACUAUGGUUACAAUAAUGACAACCAAGAAUUUUAUCAGGAUACUUAUGGGCAACAGUGGAAAUAGACAAGUGAGGGCUUGAAAACGAUUCUGUCAAGAUCCAAUUGGCUCUAGAUCUACAUUCUUCAAACAAAAUUGGCGUAACUGUUUCAUCUUUAAGUAGCAGUUUGCUGCCAUUUGUAUUCAGCUGAAGAAGUCACUAUUGUGUAUAUACUCAAGGCUUCUUAUUUUUCUUCUUUUCUAAAUGCUCUUGGACAUUAUUGGGCUUGCAGAGUUCCCUUAUUCUGGGGCUACAAUGCUUUUAUCGUUCCAAGCUUCAUCUUAGCUUCAGAACAAACUGUUAAAUCAUGAUUUUGCAGAACCUUUGGUUUGGACAGUUCUGUUCUUUUGGAUUUGGAAUAGAUUACAUAGGAGUAUGAAGUAUGCUGUAAAUAAAAGUACAAGCCAGUGCUUUGUCUUAGUAGUUUUAAGAAAUUAAAGCAAACAGACUUAAGUUUCCUUGUAUUGAAGAUAACCUAUGACUGUAUGUUUUGCAUUCCUAGAAGCAGGUUAACUGUGUUUUUAAAUUGUUAUAACCACACCUUUUUGAAAUCUGCCCUACAAAAUUUGUUUGGCUUAAACGUCAAAGCCGUGACAAUUUGUUCUUUGAUGUGAUUGUAUUUCCAAUUUCUUGUUCAUGUAAGAUUUCAAUAAAACUCAAAAAUCUAUUCAAAACAUCACCUAUUUCAAAUUCAAUUGUGUCUAAAACAUUACUUUAUUCGUAAUCCUUGAAGGAAUACUGUUUUCAAAGUAGAACUGCCUAUGUGAGUGAUCAAAUUCAUGAAAAAUUUCUCGUCUAUUCCAUCAUGUAUUGUGGAUAUUAGAUUUGAGGAUUAUUCUAAAUUCACAUAUUCCAAAUACCAUUUCAUUGAUUGGUGUUCUUUCAUAAUCUCUUCUAAUUUUGAAAUUUUAUCCUUAAAAGAAAACAAACAGACUCCAAUGUUUUUGAACAGGUAUUGGAUCAUUUUUAUUAAAGCAAAAUGGAGCUGGGGAAGCGCACUGCAGUUUGUUUUGACCCACAUUCUUUCAAAUCAAGGACAAUUUGUGACUGAAGACCUUAUUUGCUGGAUAAAAAAUUACACAUACAGAGAAAACUUAGUAUUGUGAUGUCAUUUGCACUGUGAACUAAAGUCAUUUUUAGUGUUCAUGAUGAGCACCCCUAUUUUACUGGUUUAGGACUGUGAUUCCCAUCGCUGUGUAAACUUGCUUUGGGAAGCAGCCAUGCUUUAGAAGAGACUUAAAUAUCAAGUGGUUAUGUCUCUGGCUUUCUGAUAAGACCUUUAAUUUUUUUACCAUGUCUACUGACUUCAGUUUUGUUCCAAUUUAUUCUAAUGACUUUGCUAAAUGAAAAGAGCAGAAGAAUGUAAACUUUCAUUUUGAAAUUUUUUCCCCCCGUUUGGUGCUGGGAAUUGAAACCAGGACCUGCGCACAUGCUACCGUUGAGUUGUAUCACUAACCCCUCUAAAAUGUUUUACAUUAUAAAGCAUAAGCCACUGGGGGAUAAUUAAAAUGGACUCCCUUGUUUUACGCUCUGUUCCUGUUUGGUGUCUUUUGUGAUCACAGUUUCAGGUUUCAGAAUCAUAAGCCAUCCACUUCUUGUCCGCACAGUCAAUCACGUUUCCAGUCUCAUGACUUCAUUUUGAGCUUUAACAUUUGCUGAUGAAAGCCAAAUACCACAUUUCUUUUUCAAAGUUUAUUCAUACAGUAUAGUAGUUUAACAGGCUUUAUUAAAUUUUAUUCUAUAGAAGUUGAUAAAGGAAUCAUGUGGCCUGUUGUAGUUAUGUUAGCAUGGGUGUUAGUAAGGUUUAGAUUAUAGUCUUUUUAAGUUUUUCUAAUGCCCGUAUAUAAAAAUAAAGAGAGCAGACAGACACUCUAACUGCUGCUUUUAAACUUAUAAUAAUUUGAGGCCUUGAGUAUAAAUUAGACUUAAAGAAUUAAUUUUUUCUUGGAAAGAAAAACAUAACUAAAAGUUUUAUUUUUUUUCCCCCUAAAUACAUGUUUUGGGCUAGCAAGAUUUCCCAGCAAGUGCUGCCAAACCUGACUAUGAUCCCCAGACCCACUCGGUGGAAGGAGUCACAGUUGUGUUGUAGCACACUUGUGGAAGUCAGAGGAUAUGUUUCACACAUACACAAUUAAUCGAUUAAAAACAUUUUAAUUAGAUGUUUGUCAUAAAGAAGAUUAUGAAAGGAAAUAGAAAUGAUCUGAAAAUGCAAUUUAUUGCACUUCUGCCAAUAACCCUAAAAUAUAAACUAGUAAAACCUCAAGUUCCAUUUCAAAAUCCUUUCAUUGUAUAGUCUAUUUCAAGUUUUAAGUGGGCACUUCCUAUUCUGUUCCUCUCACUAAAGAUAUAUCUGCAGAGAUUUCCUUUAAUCUUUGCUUUAUAAGUUUUUACUUAGUUAAAAGUCAGUGACCCUAUAUAAAAUUUCCCUUUAGAGCUUUCCCUUUUUGAUGUCAUGUGAGUCAUUGCUUGUAGUAUCGAGAAAAAGAUAACCCCGGUGCUCAGCUUCUCGUAGACAGUGAACGAAUGUCAAUCAAGGAGAGGCGCACAUUCAUUCACAGUAGGGAGGGUUUGGUCUUUUAAGUGACUAGGCACAGAUUAGGAGUUCUGAGGGGCUUGACUUCCUAUCCUACCUUGCCAUCUUUUUUUCUCCCCACCCAAUUUAGUUGAUGAGACUUUAUUUAUGAGCCUGUCAGAUUAAAUGAGUGUUGGGAAGUAAUACCUAUAUUGAGGUAGACCUCUCUGUAGGUAUCCUCCUGACAUUAACAAGUAUAUUCCUUCCCCAUAAUGGAAUGCAAAUUUUUAUUUGAUCACUCAUUUAUAGCAGUUGUUUAAAUGUGUAUAUUUAUAUGAAGGUGUUCUAAUUAAAAACAAAAAAGUUCUAAUAAGUUGCCAGAUUCCUAAUUAAAUUUGAGUUUUACCUGAUCAAAAGAUAAGGAAAAAUGAGUUUUGGUUUUAAAAGUUCCUUUAAAAAAAAAAAAAGUAGAGCAGAAUUGUUUUUCAUUUUUCUUAGUUCCUGGGAUUAUUCUGCAGAAGAAAGCCCAGUGCUUUCUCCUAGUUAGAUGAUUUUUCUCAUUGACUUUGGUAUAGGAUGUGAACCCUCUUACAUAAAUUCUGUACAGAAGAGAAAGGGCAUAAAAUUUCACUCCUAUCAUAAAGCCUUAUAAAAGUAUUCUUGAAACUCAUUACAUCAUUUGCCUCCUACUCAUUUAAAUAUAAUCAUACCUAUGUUUUAUUAAUUGUGUAUUAUUUGUAAAACCAGUCCCUUCCAGUAAAUACUUGCUAUAAGGCUAGUCCUUGUUUGUAAAUUUGAUUUGUAAAUUUGCUAAAAGUUUGCCUUUCAGAGACAGUCUUACUGUCCUGAGCUGUUGUCAGGCAGUCAGUUGUGCUUACUGUUUCCGCUAUUCUGACGAUUUGGAAUCUCCUAAGUGAGCAGUGAAGAGAAAGCCUUAUAGAAAGACUGCACUGGACCUAGAAAUGUGUUUGUUUCUCUGAAAUGGAGCUUCUGUUAACUUAGGGGUAGAGUGCUGGUAGAGCCAGUGGAUUCCAUGACUAACUGCAAAGUCCUCGAACCAAACGUGUUUACUUCUGCAUUACAAGUUUGUAGAUCAGGUCUUACUUUUGAAACCCAAACCCAAAGCUUUCAAAUAUUAACUCACUUAAUAUAUUGGUCAAUAAUUUAAUAUUAAUAUUUAAAGUAGUUACUGGUACUGUUUCUAGAAAUAUUUUUCUUUUAAAAAUACAUGUUUAUAUGUGUGUGUGUAUAUAUAUAUAUAAAUAUAUUCAUUACUAUUGUUAUUACUUUGAGGUUACCAGAAGCUCUGGUUUUGCUUUGGUUUUGCUUUUUUAUCAUUUUCAGACGUUGUCCAGAAAUCUGCAAGUGUUCUCUUCCUGUUUUAACUCCUUCCUUUUAUCACCUGACUAUCAGGGAAGCGAGGUUGAGGCUGCCCUGCCCUGACAUGUCAUGAUGUCGACUUGCUAGGUGGGGUUCGCUGGGGACCAUAACCAGUGGAAUUGUUGGUAAGAACUUUUUUUUUCUAUUUCUUUUUCUUUCUGUUUUUCUGUUUUUAUUUUUGUUUUUGUUUUUAGUUUAUUUACAAGUGGGACAUUAGUUGUGGGAAAAUGUUGCCCAUUAUCUUGUAAGCAGGAAAUUAUGUUGGCUUUAAGGAAAAAUAAGUGUCUAAGUAGAAUUUGUAUUCUCAACAGGAACAUAUAAUAAAUACCUAACUCAUUUUCAAAUUAGUAGAUCAGCAGAAUAUUAAGAUAUGAAAUUUUCCAGUUACAAUUUAUCAAACCAUACCUUACAAUCUAGAAUAUCUGUUGAAGCAAUAAUGAUAUUUUACUGUGAUUUUAGUCUCUCUGGUAUCAUCUAUUACAUUUUUAUAGGAUAUUAGUGUAUAAGUAUUUUAAGAGAUUUAUUGUACACUAAUGUUUAAUGAAAAUGAGAAGGUAUUGCCUAGAUUGGAGGGUUUAAAUAGUAUAUAUAUUUUUUAAUUCUAUAAAAUUUUAAUAUUGCAAAAUUAAACUUGAGAAUUCUGGCAGUUUAAUAAAAUAGUAGUAUUGGUUUUAAAGAUCCGUUUAUAUAGUAACUUAGGAUCCAGAGGAAGUUUACGUGGCUGCAGUCUUGAGACCUAGAGCAUAAGUAGAAACAAAGGUGGGGCUGAGGACGUGGGUUAGUGAGAGCUUGUAUUUAACAAUGUUAGAGGCACUAAGUUCAGUCCUCAGCACCCCGUACUAGGUAAAAAUAAAACAAUUAGUAAAUACUGCUAGAGUCAACAGUCUAGAUUCCUAGACAUGGAAAUGGUGAACUAACUGCCUGAGGUGUGCUUACCUGGAAUCCCAGCACUGGGGGAGUAUGAGCCCCAGGCUGGCACACAAUGGAAACUUGCCUCAAAAAAGACCAAGGCUCAGGAUGUAGUUCAGUGGUAGAGCGCUUGCCUGACAUACAUAAAGCUCUAGGUCAAUGCCUAGUAGCACAAAAAAAUUAAACAGCUAAAAACAAAAAUCCUCCCAGCUUAUACUCAGGGUAUAUCAUGAUGAUUGAGUAUAAAUUGAGGGAAACCAAUUUAACAACUAGGCAAAAAUAAUUAUAAUUUGUGACACUGAAUAAAAGUAAUUGCAAGUGUUGAUGUUUGAAGAGCUGCCUCAGUAUUCUUGUGGACCUUUGCGUUCUGGUGGCAGUGUCAGUCUAGAACCUGGUAGGCAUUACACAUGUGCUAGUCAGCACUGGGACUGACGUGCUUAGCUCUUGGUGUCACAGUGAAGUCACGUGCUUAGCUCUUGGUGUCACAGUGAAGUCGUGCAGAAUCACUAGCAGUUUCAGGGUUGAGUUAAGGUUUUGUUCCUUUGUCCACAUUUUAUUGUGCGUGCAUCAGUGCCAGAAAAAGUGAGGUGUAGAACUUGGUUGCUUGCACUAAACAGCUUCUUGGGAAUAAAGUUAAUGGUGUUAGGGACAUUCAAUUUGGAUGAGUUUGUGUAAAUUAAGAGAAAUAACAGUACAAUUUAUUAACCAUAUGCAUUUGCAACAAAAUACACUUGAUGGGACCAGAAAGGAAGUGGGCGCUAUGGAAGAACUCUUAAAUUGCUCCAAUAAGGGGCUUCCAGUCCAUGUAGCAGCUGUGUCAGGAUCUCAGAACAUUACUUACUGUGGUUUUUCACAGGUAAAGAUUUGGCUAAAGAGGUGCUUCUGGCCUGCUAAAGAAAAUAGGUGGAAUUGUACUUUAAAGAGUCACUGCAGUAUUUAGAGUUAUGUUCUCUGGCUAUUUCUAGAAUUGGACAGAAAAUGCCUACAAAACACUAAAAAACUUUCUGGUGUACUACAGUACAGUAACAUGAGAUAUAUCCAAAUUGGGACAGUUACAUGACAUGUCCAUUUAAUCAUUUCAAGAAAAACCUGCUUUUGGUACAGUGUUCAUGUACCAUACCUGUAUUGGAAUAUUUGUAUGAUGUUAAUAUUUUUAAUAAAAUUUAACAUGUUCAAAAUGUUGUGUUGGUGAUUUGGGGUGGGGUGUGAUUAAUUCAGUUGUACAAAACAGAGUCUUCAGCUGUGUAAUUUAGGUUUUUACACUCAAAAUUCUUCCCAAAUUCAGUCCUAACCUAUUUGAAAGAAGCCAGUUAAGGAGUAGCAAAGUGGUUUACUUACUGAAUCCCUGCGGGGCGGGGCUCUCCCCGGGGUACUUGAGUACCUUUGUAAGACCUGGGCUCAGAAGUAUCAGGCAGAAAUGUUGACUCUGGCAUUUUAGGCUCCAAUAAAGUUUUUCAGAGGAAAAUUUAACAACAUUGGAAGUGGUCUAGAGAAACUGUGAAGGGGCAAAUGGAAGCACCCGUGUGAUGGUGGCAGUAGGCUUUUUAUUGCCUUGAGCAAUAGCGUGGUACCACAAAGAGAGGUGGUAUUUGAUGCAAGCUGUGUUGGAGGGUUUGGGUCUGUGGUUGAAAAAUACUGCCAGUGAACAGGAAGUUCCAUGGAAGAGUUCUCUGCCUUCGUGUAAGUUUAGUAUCUGUUUAAUAUAGCUCCCAUUCUCUUGCAGGUUGGCUUGAUGUGGCGGUUCUCUUCUGUUAUUUUCCUCAAGGGCAUACUUAGAUCCUCACCAGUGAGGAGGGUGGAAGGAAGCUCUGCCGCUCACAAUGGAGAUUUACUGAAAGUCGUACACUUACUCGGCCAUCUUUAACUGUGCUACUAAUACCAAAAAAAAAGGCUUAGGAGAUGGUCAUCGGGGUCAAAUGAUCAAAACAAGUUGAAUAAGUAGCAAGAAGGUGUCUAGAUACAUUCCGAGUUGUCUUGUGAAUGAGGAUUGCUGGUAAAGUUAAGUUAUGAGGUGAGAGUGAUGGGCCUUCCCUUAGGUCACUGGUUUUCAGUUUACUGUUCUGGUUUUUUUCCGUUGUCCCCAGGUCAGAAGAUCACUCAGUGAAACAGGAAGGGCUGUUCUCAAAGCAGCAGUGUCUAACGCUCUCUGAGAGACUGUCAUAGCCAGGGUAGGGCAGAGGCCGGGGUGCGGUAUAAAUACUGAUCAGGCCCCACCCUGCCUAGCUCCAAGAUCAGAUGUGGGCCACAUUUAGUCUGGGAUGUCUCUAGGCUAUCUUUACUGCUGUCUCAACCCUGAAUUCAUUUACUUCGUUUAAAGAAAUUAGUUUAAUGAAUAUUUUCCAGGGUAGUUGUGUCUAUAUCUUUGAAGAUACUGCUUUUCUAGAAAUUUUAGAAAAAUUAGGACCAGGUACAGGUAUUUUCUUCAAGAAACCUUGUUUCUUUCAGUUAUUUGUGACUCCUAGAUAAUGACCUAACUUUUUUUUUUUUUUUUUUUUUUUUUUUUUUUUACUAAGAGUCUUCCCAUGUCUGCUGCCUCUCAAGUGCUGGGACUAAAAGCUUGUGCCACCAUGCUUCUGGGAACCAUUAGGGUCUAGUUGUUAGCAGAGCAGAAGUCUGUGGAAAUAGUUUAGUAGCACUUACUCCUGUGCACAAAGAAUAGCGUUUAGCUUCCCACCAUGAUGCUAAUAAGUUAAUUCAUAAAAUCGUACAGUUAGACUCAUGGCCGAGGCCAGCUUGAGCAAGGUAGUCAGUUUAUAUAAAAAUUAUUUAAACUAUGCAGCAGCAUCCUUCAAAAAUCACAUAGAAGUUCAUUAGCCUAAAACUCAGCUUCACAGCUGUGCAUGUGAGAACUGCAGCAUCGUCUGAGAAAGUCAUUCUGCAGUUGUCAGCUGUGCAGAGAAGAAAGCAUUUCCUUGAACGGAAAGGGACUGCGUUAUUUCAGGUCUCAUAUUCCACUGAGGCCUUGGUCACUGCCAUGUGUUCUUGGGAGGUUAAUUUUAUGCUCGAGCCAAGAAUCCUUUAAGUCUUGCUUUUGGUUCCCUGGAUUUUAAAAUAGGUUAAAUAAAAAAUAAUAUACUUUAAAAGCUAUUUUUAGUCAGUGUUUAAAAUUUCAGGCUUAAAAGGAAGUGUGCUUUAUAUUGAUCAAAAUGUUACCAAACAAAUCCUGUUAUUGAACCUGAUAAGUAUCAUGGGAUUUAUUCAUUUAGCUGUUGUUAGAAUACCUCAGUUGGUUUGGUCAGAACUUAAAUGUCUUUCCAGCACAUCAUGGUUGAAGUAAGCCAGGCACUGGUGGUGCACACUCCUUAAUCUCAGCACUGAGGAGGCAGAGGCAGGCAGAUCUCUGAGUUCAAGGCCAGCCUUUUCUACAGAGUGAGUUCCAGGAUAGCCAGGACUAUACAGAGAAACCCUGUCUCAAAAAACAAAUAAUAACAACAAAAACAAAAGAAAAACCACUCAGAUUUUGGUUACAUUGUGUGUGUUUAGUUUUGAUGUGCCUCCUGUUAGCCCAUAAAGUCCUGUUGGAGCAGUGUUCUGGAGGCAGCCGCAGGAGGAAAGUCUGAGGCUAUACAGGGAGACUAUCCUUCAAAUAUAAGCAAGAGUAAAAAUUGUUGCUGAAACUCAUUCUUAUGCUGUGGAGAGCAAUGUAGUUAUGUUCAUUCAUUGUAACAAUUUCUAUUUGACUUCUCUAAAUGAAAAAAAAAAAAAGUCCGAAUGAGACCAUUUUUUUGUAAAUGUUAAAAUGAAGGCUCUGCUAUCCCCAGGUUCUUGGAAGCCAGCUCGUACAGUACAUAAAGACAAUUUCCUAAAGUCCUUGGAAGGGAUGCUGGGGAUUGAUGAGAUGUUUGCAGUUGUUCCGGUCACAGUUAUCACUUAACUCCACACGCUGACAUGGAUAGAAGCCCUCAGAGAUGUUCAGAUUCCCUCUUGUCUCUGAGUUCAUUUCCCAGGCUAAUGCUGGUCUUGUAGUUGAUUCUCUUGUGUCGAUCUGACUGAUUGAUCAGCACCAAGCUUCUAGGUGAUGCCAAGGUCAUGAUUUUUUCACAUUUCUGGGGCUCAACAAAAGAAGAAAACCUUAGUAGAAAGCUAAGUAGAAAAGCUAAAAGCUUUUUUGUUACUGGUUGGUUGGUUUGUUCUUUAAGCUGCUUCCUGCCUGUCCUGUAAUUCUCUGAACUCAGAGAUUAGCCUGCCUCUGCCUCCAGAGUGCUGGGACAAAAGGUGUAUACUACCACACGAAGUAGCAGCCGCCGCUGCUGCUGCUGCUGCUGCUUCUCCUUCUCCUCCUUCUCCUCCUCCUCCUUCUCCUUCUACUACUACUACUACUUCUUCUACUACUACUAAUUUCUUCUUCUUUCUUUCUUCUCUGCUGCUGCUGCUACUCCUUUUCCUUCUCCUCUUUCUCCUCCUCUUCUUCUUCCUCCUCCUCCUUCCUUAUCAUCAUUAUUGAAAUGGUCUCACUGUGUAGUCUUGGGUGCCCUGAACUCGUGUGCACAUGUGGCUUCAGACUGACUUGUGAGUGCUGGGAUUAAUGGCAUUUACCACCACACCUGGCAAUAACAAAUCUUACACUGAUUUGCCUAGAUCUAGUUUUGAGAUUUUAAACUAUGGUAAAGGUUGAGGACUUGGUUGCACAGGCCCUGGUUUGCCACCUAGCAACAGAAAACACUGGUAAAAGACUGCAAAUGUCAUUAGUGCUUGGAGUCCCAAGGAAAUGGUAAGAAAAUGAAGUGGAUCAAGAAGUUAAUUUAAGAGGUUGUUCGAAAAUCAAGCCAUGGAGGUCAGGUCACUUUAUGCUAGCUUAGAGGUCAGAAAACAGCUUCAGGAGUUACUGAAGGUAAAAACACUCGAGACUCAGAAAGGGAAUGUUGACUGAUAACAAUAUCAGUUGAGUUGGUUUGAGAUUUGUCUCUGACCCUGAAGUGGCAGGGUAGGGUUAUGUAGAAGCACUCAGAUGACAGGUAAGUCAACAGUAUGUGUGGCCAGUGCAGCCUCACGCUUCCUAGGGACUGACACGGCUGGGGUGUGAGAGCCCCGAUCAUCCUGCCUCUGAUGAUUACAGGCACGUGCCACACUAGACGGUUUGUUCAGCUUAAGCAUUAGGUUGGAAAUAGACAUAAAGUGAAGUAAGUGAUGAAUUUUAUAUUGUGUUGUACCCUAAUUUGAAUUUAAAGUAGGCAGUAGGUAGGGUUAAUUGGUAGACUAUCAUGUACAGCCCUUUGGGUUUAUCCCAACACCAAAAAAAAAAAAAAAGAAAAAAGAAGAAAAAGAAAAUCAGAGUAUCACAUUUUGAUCUGUGAGAAACUCAGUUUGGGGCUGGGAAUGUAGCUCAGUGGUAGAGAGCUUGUCUAAGGUACACAAGCUUGGGCUGGAAUAAGAAACCCAAGGAAAAUGUCGGGCAUGGUGGUGCACGCCUUUAAAAUCCCAGCACUUGGGAGGCAGAGGCACGAGGACCUCUGAGUUCGAGGCCAGCCUGGUCUACAGAGUGAGUUCCAGGACAGCCAGGGCUACACAGAGAAACCCUGUCUCGAAAAACUAAAAAAAAAAAAAAAAAAAAGAAAAGAAAAGAAAAAAAAAAAACUCAAGGAAAAACAGCAGGAUAAAAAGGAAACUAUUUUUAAUCUAGGCAGGCUUAUAUUUGAUAUGAUAAAGAAAGCUUUUUUCGAAACCUUGUGUGUAUAGAUGUUUGUGUGUGUGUGUGAUUGAGUGCCUGAGAUGUUUGUAAGCCACCUUGUUAGUGGCUGAGAAUCAAACUCUGGUCCUUUGGAAGAGCAGCCAGUGCCCUUAACUGCUGAGCCACUUCUCUAGCCUGGAAAGGUCCUCUUUCUAAGUGACUUUAAACAUUUAAAAAUGUCCUUUGUACUUUAUUUUUAAAAAUCUGAAUUUGUUUAUUUCUGAAUUCUAUCUAGUAAGUGCUAUAUAAGAUUUUUAAAGUCCUAGUUUAUCGUUGUCCUACUGUCUUCAAGCUCAGUCUUUUCUGCAUUUUCACGGAUGUGAUAAAAGGCUGGCUAAAGGGCUUUAUGUAGUACCCCUGGUUAUGUGUGAAUGUGAAACAGAGCUGAGCCUGCCUGGGCCGACUUCUAGUCUCAGCACCAGGGAGGCAGAGGCAGAGCAGAAGGGUCACUACAAGUUCAGGGCCACGUUGGUCUACACAGUGAGUUCUAGGCCAACCAGGAGUACAUAGAGAUGUUAUCUCAAGGAAACAAAACAAUAAUAAAAUAGAAUUAAAUAAAAGCCAAAAAGGUUGAGCCCUGAAUUAGUAUGAAACUACUUAUUUAUACAUUCUUUUAAACAUUCUAAGCCAGGCAUGCUGCAAAUGCCUACAAUCCAACACUCAGGAGAACAGAGUCGUAGACCAAAGUUCAUACACAGUUGAAGGCUGGCUGAUUUACACAGUAAGACUAAGGAAAAACUUUUCAGCCAGGGUUGGUGGUAUAAACCUUUAAUCCCAGCAUUCAUUUGUAGGACAGCCAGGGCUACACAGAGAAACGUGGGGGUGGGGGUGGGGGUGGGGCUGCAGAAAAACUAUUUUCUCUAAUGUAGAAAGAAUAGUAAGUGAAAAACUUAAAAGCAAUGGUUUUAGAUUAGUCUGGGUAUUUUUGUUUUUGCUAUUCUAUUUCAUGAAUAUCUGUGUUAAACAGAAUGAUAACAGAAGUGGCUGGGCUCCUAGCUUAGCUGUCAGCAGGGCUGCUCACCUAGCUAGCUACCUUAGCUAGCACUGUAAGAUUGAGACAUUAAGCAAGAGCUGAAACCUUGUAUUUGACAUGCUGCACUUUCAGGUUACCUUGAGUUUCUGUGUCUGUGUCGCUCUGUGUGUGUGUGUGUGUGUGUGUUUAACUGAACUAUAUCCCAGCCCUUGGAUUAGGCCUUACUCUGGAGUCCAUGAGUGGUCUUGAACUCAAGUAUUCUCUGGCCUAUGCCUCUUGGAUAGCACUAGGGUUAUCAAUGUAUAUCACCACACUGGCCCCACAAGGCUGCUUUGGGUUAGGGUAGAAUACAUGGCUGCUAGAGUUAGACAGUAUGCAUGAUAUGAAAUAUGACAUUAAUAAAACAUCCAAGCCAGAUAGUGGUGGGUGGCACGUCUUUGAUUCCAAUACUCAGGAGACAGAAGCAGGUGGAUCUCUUGAGUUUAAGACCAGCCUGGUCUACAGAGUUGAAUUUUAGGACAACCAGAGCUACACAAAGAAACUCUGGGAAAAACAUAGAUAAAUCCAAUCUUUUUAAAAGUCAUCUCUGUCCUAUAUACCCCACAGGGUCUUAGAGCUGGUUAGUAAUGUACUUGCUUGCCUACCAUGUGUGAAUGUGAACCCUGUCAGAACUUGAGUACCUUAUAAAUUGGGCAUCAUAAUGCCUUUUUAUAGUUCUGGGGAGGCUGAGACAGAAGGAUCAGAAGUUUAGGGUUAUCCUCAAAGACUUGGGAGAAUUUGAGGCUAACCUGUAACCCAUGAGCCUUCUUAGUACUGGGAUUAUAGGGAGGUGACUUCUCAUCUCCAGAGUUAUUGCUGAUCUUUUAGAAACAGCAUUUGUAUUACAAUGGGACUUUCUCUCUUCCCCUGUGUGUGUGUGUACAGCUAAUUUACUACUGAUAAUUUUUCAAAGUAAAGCUAAACAUGGUGAUACAAAUCUUAGUAUUACCACACAAGAGGAUAAAACAAGAGGGUCACAGAUUCUAAGCCAGCCUUGGGUUUUAUGGUGAUACCAUGGUGACUCACGCCUUCAAUCUCAGCAUUUGGGAGGCAGAAGCAGGUGGACUUCCCAGAAUUCAAGGCCAGCCUGGUUUAUAUAGUGAGUUAUAGGCCAGCCAUGGCUACAAAGUAAGACCCUGUCUAAAAACAAAAAAAGAUACUCUGGUAUGAAGUUAGACACAACCUAUAAGGCCUCCGGCUGCACUCUUUAGUUUGAGGCUAGCCUGAACUUCAUGAUGAUAUCUUGUCUUAAAUCACCAAGAUGGAACUAAGUAAUAGAGCACCCACUAACUUAAGUGCUCUGGUUUCAAUGGCAGUAUCCCUUUUUGAAGUCUUACCUUUGCCCAGGACACUGCAGCAGCCCCAGCCCCUUGCUCCUACGUCUCUAUCCAUGGGGAAGAUGGGAUCGCUCGCUCUUUUGGAAAAUAACCUCACUUUGACAAGUCUAUUCCUGACAGUGAUUUCUCAGAGACCAAAAGCAAGAAUAAAGGGAAGAAAGAGGUUGGUAUCAGGUAAGCUUUGGGUGGCACUUAGGUGAAAAAUAAUAGCUCUUUUGACUACAGACCUACCUCUCAUUUCAACCCCCCACUCCUGCCUUAAUGCCCAUGAGCUUAGCAGAGUUUUUAAAGAAAGGAUAAGAAUGUCUGUUAGAAGAAGUGUAGAUUAGACCCUUUUUUUUCUCUCCCCGAUAAAGAAGGGUAGGUAGAGCUCUUGCCUAGAAGACUUGAAGGUUGCAAGGGAUGAAGUAGCAGCCUGCCUUAGGGAAGUGGAAUAUAUUAUUGUGCAGUUUGUGUUCUUAUGUUCUUUCUAUACAGAUAACUUAAACUAACAAAAUGAACAUUGAAGGACAUAGUGUGGAAGAAGGAGCCCUGCCAGGAAACACAUUGGAGCAAGUGUGUUUUAUUCUGGUAGCAGAAAGGACACAAUGGCACUGGGACCCUUCAAUCCAAGGACAGCAUCUCUAGAGGAGACCUUUGCUGUCCUUAGGCUGCAGAUAGGAUACAGUUCAAGAACAGUGUUUUAUUAGUGGCGUUUGGUCAUUGGAAAGGACCCGGAAGUGUUGAGUGGUAAGUGCUUGCCUAGGAUGUGGGGGGCAUAGGUUCAGUUCCCGGCAACACACACACACAGAUGAUCAAGUGUAGGAAGGGGAAAUGCUCAGAAUGUUCUCUGGCCUUACUUUUAUUCUCAUAUAAUGAACAUCUUACAACUUACAUGACCUUCAUUAUUACUUUUAAAGAUGCAUUUCAUGUGCUAAGACUUCUGAGAUUGCCAUUUUCCCCGGGGCCAGGUUAGAAGACAUUGCCUUUUGACACCAGCAGCCAUUCUGUCUUCGUUCUAACAAGGACUAGCGUCUUGAGUUUGCUUUUGUUCUUGACUUGGCCAUGUGUUAGAUCUGAAUCAAAAGAACUAAGAAGUGUGGGGCAAAAUAUGUCUGGUUCUGGUAUGUUUGUAGACAGAUCAUUGGGUCUGUCUCAGUCAGGGACCUGAGUGUUGUGUUAGAACAGUAGUGUUGUCAACAGGGACAACAGAAGGCGCCAUAGAGCAGGCCUUUGAUCCUCCCGAGGAAGAGUCAAUUAGUUCUCUGAGCUCAAGGCUAGCCAGGGCAACACAGUGAAAUUCUGUCUCAGAAAAUAAAAAAUAGUGUUGCUUAUAUUUGAAAUUAGUAUUUUAAAGAGCCACACAAAACUUUGAAGUUAGAUUAUUGUAGCUAAUGACAAACAUGGCUGCUAUCUGAAAGUAUAACUGCAUUGCUGCAAUGCUGCAUGACUCCUAAUUACACAGUUAACUAAGAAGGCAGGAAUGACGAGCCCAGAGUGAUGUCACUCAUGAGAGGUUAGAGGCACUUUUUUGGGGAUAGUUGAUAUCCUUGGAAUGUCUUAUUUCAAGGACCUCUACUUUUUCUUAGGUUUAUAAACUAGGUAUGAAAAGAACGAAAAAUGAUCCGGUUAUCCAGGUUAUCAAGAUGUUUGUCUUUAACGAGGCACACACUGUAUCUGUCAUGGAGCCCCUGUGAACUGUAGGCUUCAUGAGAUGCCAGUGGAACUGAGUAGAUGUUAGAGAAAUUGGUCAGAGUAGAAACACCCAGAAGUACAGUGUUAACACUUGACAGUGCCAGUGAAAGUGACCCUCCACUCCCAGUGCUGGACUGAAGGGAAUUAAAGUGCAACCUGUGGGCUGGGGAGUGGAGCUCGGCUGUGAGUGCUCACCUGCAUGAACCUCUGCGUUUGACCCUUGGCACCUCAUAAACUGGGCAGAGUGGCACUUGCCUGUAAUCCCAGUUCUUAGAAAAUAGAGGCAGGAGAUUGAGAAGUUCACAGUGGUCCUCUGCUUCAUAUCAAGUUCAAAGCCACCCUGGGGGAUGCAAGACCCUGAAUCAAGGAAAAAUACUGUGGAAAUUGCUCUUGCCUGUUCUGACAACAAAAUUCACAAGCUAGGAUGCAUGAGAAGUCUGUCUGACUACUCCCUAAUGUCUGUUUCAACCUUGCAGCUAACUUGUUGUUUUUGCCUCCUUUCCAGAUACCGGUCGGUUGUAACACAGGCUCCCUGUCACACUGCUAAGCGCUGAGGGCUCUCUGAUUUGAAAGGAUCUUUCUGUGUACAUUGUGCCUUUGAUGGGAAUGUUCUGCUGAACCUGCAGACUAAAACUGAGCUCAGUGACACAGCCUUUUCUCACGCUCCUCCUUAAAUCUGAGCUGAGACAUGUGACAUGCGACUCACUUCCUCUGUAAAAUUGAGUUCUGGUUUGUUUUUCCUUUUUUUUUUUUUUUGUUUUUUUGUUUUUGUUUUUGUUUUUGUUUUUCGAGACAGGGUUUCUCUGUGUAGCUCUGGCUGUCCUGGAACUCACUCUGUAGACCAGGCUGGCCUCGAACUCAGAAAUCCACCGGCCUCUGCCUCCCACGUGCUGGGAUUAAAGGCGUGUGCCACCACGCCUGGCUUGUUUUUCUUUAUAAACAGUCAACACAAGCUUUACUGCUUGGACCUUCCAUUAACAACAGUGGUUGCUGUGUCUGGUCUUCAAUUAUAAAUUUUUCUGCCAUUAGAUGAUCUGUUGAGUCUAAUCUUGAUUUUUUUUUUAAAUCACCAGCUGGCUAUCCUUCCUAUUCAGUGAAUACGUCAUGAUAAUGUUAACACUUUCCAAUUAUCAGCCUGGAAAUUGACCAUAUGAUGAAAGACAGGCAUUCUGGAGGGUUGGGGGGGUUGUAAAGCCAAAACUUGGCAUGGGGUGCAUUCUCAGUACUAAUGUGCAUUGUUUGUAGUCAUUGCGUUAUUAUUCGUCAACAUGCUUCCUGGUCCUACAGUAGCGUUAUAUGCUUUUUUAUUUCUUUUUGCCUUUUUAGCUGCUAAGCUAGGUAACAGUCAUUGCAAAGUGCACAUUUGUAAAUGAUUUCUCCUGAGGAUCACUGCUGAGCCACCCAUGGAGUGUGCCUUGAGGAGGGAUGUGUCAUGUGGAAUCUAGGACCAUCCAGCAAGGAUGAUUGCCUGGUCACAUGGCUGGAACAGUCAGACUCUUAACAGCAUUCCCCUAAAAGCAAGUCUUGGGUUUCUUUUCAUCUAUUUUCAUUUUCAUUCCCAAAUGAGUGAUGACAUACUUCUGUCUUUUCUGCGCAUCUCAGGGAGUUGAGCUGUCAAGUCAGUUUGGCCAACCUGCUUAUGAGUUAACGAAAACAAAUAGAAUUUGGUUUGCUAGCUACCCAAAUUUUUAAAAGUUCUGGUUUUCAGUUUAUGAUUUUAUAGUAUAAAGAGUUUCCUGGACCUUUUCACAGGUGUUUUUCAGUAUUCUACUCUAUGCGGACUUGAUUUCAUUGCUUACUUCCUAUGACGCAGACAGCAGUUGAGCAAGCUGGGCGCAGAGGUCCACACUUCUAAUCUCUGGGCUUGGGAGACUGAGGGGGCUAAGGCACGAGAGGCUCAAGGUUGAGGCCAGCCUAAGUUGAGCUACACUGUCUAUUCUGUCUCAACAUUUUAAAGAAGAAAAAUCAGCUGAAUAGAGAUAAACCUUUUAACUACAAAGCCUGCGCCAGUGAUCAUUAAAUACAAGCUCACUUUUUUUCUGUUUAAGUGGUACAUAAUAUUUUACAUUUGACAAAUUAGAAAGCCACUUAGAGUUGAUUAGUGUGACUGGUUCUUUUUAUCAGAAUUGUUUUCCCUUUACCCAUUCAGCAAAAUCAUUAAGAGACUAAAACUAAAUUCAUUGUGUUUGGUCGUCUUUCCUCACUGAACAUUUUAUUAAAAUCAUGUAGAAGCUGACUGUGGUUGUUUGCACCCACAUUACCAAACAAACACUCAGGCAGGAGGCUCCAAAGCGGCUUAGGCAACUUAGUGAGAACCCAGCUCAGAAGGAAUAGAAGAUUUCCAGCCUAAACCGGGGAGAGGGAACCAACUGCAGGUGGGAAGGGGACUGGGAUGGGAUUUUGGGAAGGGAUGAGAAAUUAUAAUGACUGAAGAUGCCAUAAUAAAACCCAUUACUUGGUCCCCUAAUCCAAGAAAUUCAGAAAGAAAGAAAGAAAAUGUCUGCACAUAGAUUUUGAGCUUGUCAGAGAGCCAAGUUUUGAAUUAAAAAAUUGAGUUACAACUUGUAAUUCAUGCCUCAGAGUGUGGCUCUUCCCAGGUGAAGUUGCAAGACCUCAGACUAUGCCCCUGUGACUUAAUUUUAUGUCCUUCCCUGUUUACUGUGUCUGACCUUCAAGAUUUCGUGACUGAUGCUGAAGUGGAAGCCAGCCAGUGCAAACGUUUGGGGAAAUAACAUCUGAAGAAUGCAAAGGGAAAUAGGAAUUCCUCUAGCGUUCCCAUCCUGCCUUGUCCUGCCUGCCUUCCACUCAACAGGGAGAGGAAAAGACCCGGGCUCAUGGAAUUUUCCAGCUCAGCGUUACAGCUGUUUGGUGUUCUUAGGAAAGGUACUGAGAAGGACUGUGGAAAGUUUAGAGUAGUUGAGCCUGCAAGUAUUCCACGUUAGCCAGGCCUGACGGUGCACACCUGUAGCUCCGGCACUGGGGAAGCUUGGGAAAGAGGAUGAAGAACUCAAGGAGACAGGCUGGAGUGCUAGCUCAGCAGAAAAAGAGCACUUGCUGCAGAGAAUCUGGGUGCAGUUCCCAGGGCCCACAUGGCAGCUCACAGCCAUGCAUAACUCCGCUCCAGGGGAUCCAGGGUUCUGGCUUUGAAAGGCUCCAGACAGGCUCAUGGUGUGCAGACACACAUGCAAGCAGAACUCUCAUACACAGAAACCUGGAAUCUUUAAAGUUCAUGGAGAGCUGUGGCAAUGCAGCAAGUCCCAGCUGUGGUGAGUCCUUCCUUGUGUGUGUUCUGUCCUCUGUGUAUAUGCUUUUAAACUUGUUAGUGUCGGAGGGUCCACUAGGAUUUCAUUUGCAUUUGAUAGGAACAAAUACAUUGUGUGUGUGUGGGGGGGGGAUAGUGGUUUCUGUUAACAUUCAUUUAUUUUGUUAAAAAAAAAAAAACUCAAAAAUUACUAGAAAUAAAUUAUUCCAGACUGACCACGUACCUGUGCAGUAGGCAUCCUGCAGGCCUGGGAAGUAAACUAGUACAGGGGUCAUGACCUUGAGAAACUCAUUUUGAUUUAUAAAGUACAGAGAUUUUAGUUUAAGGAAUCAAAAUCUGAUUAAAAAGGAAAUGGCUAGGCUGGGCAUGGUGGCACAUGUCUUUAAUCCCAGCACUCAGGAGGCAGAGGCAGGCGGAUUUCUGAGUUCGAGGCCAGCCUGGUCUACAAAGUGAGUUCCAGGAUAGCCAGGGCUACACAGAGAAACCCUGUCUCGAACUCCCCUUCCCCCCAAAAAAAAGGGAGUGGCUAAAUGUUUUACUAGCAAUCUACCCUACAUAUGCUAACCUGACUACACAUUCUAAAUGGAAUGUCUAGCAAUGUGAGUUGUACACUUGUAAUCCAGCACUCGAGAGGCUGAGGCAGGAGUAUCAAGAGCUUGAAGCCAGCCUUGCACCAUCUGUUAGUCUCCUACAAUGGACACACGCACGCCUAUGUGGGUUUGUAUGGGUAACAUUUUCUAGAUCUUUCUUGUUUCAGGGACUAUAAGAGUCUUACAUGUAAUAUUUCAAGACCAGCAGAGAAGCUAACAAAAUUGACCUGAGUAUGUGUAACAGUGAUGUAGGAACAAUAUUUGAACACAGGCAGAACAUGCACUCUUUAUUUGGUUAUGAUAAUACAUGUGUAGUACCUGCAGUAAGUACCCCCAAAACAUUCAGGUUCGUAAUAAAAACUUGUAUUUGUUUAAAAAAAGAAAGAAAGAACUGCCAGGUGUAACAGCACACCUUUUUAUGCUCAGGAGGCAGAGGCAGGCAGGUCACUUGAUGCUCAAGACAAGCCUGCUCUUCAUAGCAAGUUCCAAGCUAUCCAGAGCUGCACAGUUAGCACUCAAAAAGAAAACAAAAAGGAAGGAAGAGAAAGUAGGAAUGUCCAAUUAGUGAUGAAAGUUAAUUAAUGUAGCAGUAGCUUGGGGUUUUCAAAGUCAGAAAUUCCUUUUUUGACUCUAAGCCGGUCUCUCUUAAGACGUUCAGUUCGCAUACUAACCUCCUCCUUUCCCCAGGCACAGACUUAAAAGAUCUGGAACAAGGGGGCACUUUCUCUUUAGAAUGUGGACUCGGGACAGGGGAGGAGUUUGUCUUUCGCUGUUAAAACACGGUCAACUGACUGCUGAGACUUUCCCUAGAAUUCUUUUAGAAACAGAGUUUUCUUUGUGCAGAAGAGGAGAGACACUCCGUGAGCUGCUGAGGGAGGUAAGUGCCUGUGCUGUGCACAGCACCUCUGUGCCGCUUCCACUGCUGUGUGUGUGUUACUCUGUAAACCUGGUGUUACUUUAAUAAACUGUUGUCUGAACGCA